AGUCGUCCCGGCGACUAUAAAAAGCAGAUCAAGCCGGGAGCGUUCCCGCCGAUCAUGGCGGGAGGUU
rnacentral:ribozyme from 1 species